GCAUAUCAAUAAGCGGAGGAAAAGAAACCAACAGGGAUUGCCUUAGUAACGGCGAGUGAAGCGGCAAAAGCUCAAAUUUGAAAUCUGGCACCUUUGGUGUCCGAGUUGUAAUUUGAAGAAGGUAACUUUGAGUUUGGUCCUUGCAUAUGUUCCUUGGAACAGGACGUCAUAGAGGGUGAGAAUCCCGUUCUGUGAGGUGGCCAUUCUCUUGUAAAGUGCUUUCGAAGAGUCGAGUUGUUUGGGAAUGCAGCUCUAAGUGGGUGGUAAAUUCCAUCUAAAGCUAAAUAUUGGCGAGAGACCGAUAGCGAACAAGUACAGUGAUGGAAAGAUGAAAAGAACUUUGAAAAGAGAGUGAAAAAGUACGUGAAAUUGUUGAAAGGGAAGGGCUUGAAAUCAGACUUGGUAUUCAGUGAUCAACUAUCUUUCGGGAUUGUGCACUCGCUGUUUACUGGGCCAGUAUCGGUUUUGACGGUGAGAUAAUGGUGUUGGAAUGUGGCUCUUCGGAGUGUUAUAGCCUUCAUUGAUAUCACCAGUUGGGACCGAGGACCGCGCUUUAUAGCUAGGAUACUGGCGUAAUGAUUUUAAGCCACCCGUCUUGAAACACGGACCAAGGAGUCUAACGUCUAUGCGAGUGUUUGGGUGUAAAACCCGUACGCGUAAUGAAAGUGAACGUAGGUGAGGGCCCUCACGGGUGCAUCAUCGACCGAUCCUGAAGUUUUCGGAUGGAUUUGAGUAAGAGCAUAGCUGUUGGGACCCGAAAGAUGGUGAACUAUGCCUGAAUAGGGUGAAGCCAGAGGAAACUCUGGUGGAGGCUCGUAGCGGUUCUGACGUGCAAAUCGAUCGUCAAAUUUGGGUAUAGGGGCGAAAGACUAAUCGAACCAUCUAGUAGCUGGUUCCUGCCGA
rnacentral:rRNA from 1 species